AGGCGAGGCGAGCCGAACCCGCGGGGGGACACGUCGGCGAGGCCGCAGCCGCGCAAAAACUACUGGGCACCGGCGCACGAACGCCGCGCGCUCCCCCCCACCACCUCCCUAGUCCCUCCCCCUCCCUCCAAAGCCCCAGCCAAUCCCCUCGACCUCACUGCUCGGCAGCCCAGCCUCCGCUUCCCCCCCCCCUCCCACCCGAAAUUCCGAGUCCUGCUGCCCCCGCGCCUCCCCAAUGGCGUCGCCGGGCGCCGCCUUCUCCGCCGCGCUCGCCGCCGAGGACUUCCCGUUGGUGGAGGGCCAGGAGGGGAUGGGGAUGGCCCCGGACAAGUACCGCGAGGUCUUCGACCUCGCGCAGCGCGGCACGCGCGCCUUCCGGGACCGCCGCUUCGACGAGGCAAUAUCCUUUUACUCGAAAGCUCUAAAUUUGAGACCAGGAGAUCCAAUUAUACUUAGCAACCGAAGUUUGGCUUUCUGUCGGAUAAGUCAACUGUUGAGGGAGAGAUCAGCAGCUGACUCUGAAUAUCAGCCCUUAAAUGGCCUUGAUCCUACAACACAUGCAGAGUUAGCUCUGAAGGAUGCGGAGAAGAUCAUAUCUAUCAACAGUAAUUCCCCUAGACCAUAUCUUCUCAAGGCAUAUGCGCUAAUUCUGCUGGAGCAUUACCAUGAGGCACGUGAAGCCCUUCUAGCUGGUCUUCAAGUUGAUCCCCUCAGCCAUGUCUUGCAAACCUGUCUGAGUGAUCUGGAUAGGAAUACAAAUAUUGCAGCUGGGGCAAGGCGUGCAAGGUUAGAUAGGACUGAUGAUUUUGAGUGCACAUUAUGCUUUAAGCUAUUGUAUGAACCUGUCACUACACCAUGUGGGCAUUCAUUUUGUCGUUCUUGUCUACAUCAGUCAAUGGAUCAUGGAAAUAAGUGUCCCAUGUGUCGGACAGUGCUAUUUAUUGGUCCAAGAACAUACCCUAUAAGUGUAACAUUGAGCAACAUAAUUCAGAGAAAUUUCCCAGAAGAAUAUGCUGAGAGGAGAUCAGAACAUGAGACUAUGACAUAUGCCGGUGUUGAUUUGAUGCCUCUCUUUGUAAUGGAUGUUGUACUUCCAUGCCAAAAGAUGGCACUGAACAUAUUUGAACCUCGUUACAGACUGAUGGUACGGAGGAUAAUGGAAGGGAACCAUCGAAUGGGAAUGGUCGCUAUUGAUUCGGCAACGGGUACUGUAGCGGAUUGUGGCUGUGAGGUGGAAAUUUUGGAGUGUGAACCGCUUCCAGAUGGGCGCUUUUAUUUAGAGAUGACAAAAAAUAAUAAUUUCCAUCAUAGGUGGAAGGCUCUCGUCGGUUUCGUAUCUUACGAUCAUGGGAUCAAGACGGAUAUAGAGUUGCUGAAGUUGAAUGGUUGCAAGAUAUACCUCUGCCAGAAGGAUCACAAGAGAGAAGAGAACUAAUCGAACUUGCCAAUGGAGCUUCAGAACUGGCCAGGGCAUACAUUAGGCGUGCUAGAGAAACUGUACGGACUGCAAGGCGAACAAGACAUUUGGAUCUUGAGAGCAUGCCUGGACCACAGGAUCCUGAAAAAUUUAGCUUCUGGCUAGCCAACUUGAUAAGUUUGAGGCCUUCAGAUAGAUUAGAUCUGUUACGCCUCCGUGACACUCGGGAGAGAAUUUCUAGUAGCAUCAGGUUACUGAGUGAUGCCGAACAAGGUUGCCGUGUACAGUAACAGAAUUAUAGCACAAGAAUUGUUUCCACAGGCCAAUUUAUUCAUCUAGUGGUAUAUACUGAGCAGCUCCUAUGUAUACCGAUUUACAGUAUAGAUUUCUCACAUUUGUUAUUUAAUUGAUUCUGUGCGGUAUAAUUCCCUCAUGUACUGACUGUCAAUGAAAAAGGUAUAUCAUAACUUCCUUAUUCUUGUA